GCAAACUUGGUCAUUUAGAGGAAGUAAAAGUCGUAACAAGGUUUCCGUAGGUGAACCUGCGGAAGGAUCAUUAACGAAUUAUAAUGCUGAGGUUGUAGCUGGCCUUUCAAUCGAGAGGUAUGUGCACGCCUUGGUUAUUCCAAAUUCUUAUACCUCUGUGCACUUUACAUAGAAGAUUUAUUAGUUGGGUGAAAAGGAGGCUUGACCUCCCGGCAAUUCGACUCAAUAAUCUUCUGUGGUUCAUACAUUUAUACCCGUCAGUUCAGAAUGUAAUACCGCGUUUAACGCAAACUAUAUACAACUUUCAGCAACGGAUCUCUUGGCUCUCGCAUCGAUGAAGAACGCAGC
rnacentral:misc_RNA from 1 species